AAGAGGAGGCCAGCUGAGCCUCAUCUGAAGAGAGACCUGACCUGUGAAAUGGAUUGAUCUGAUUUGCACUGCCCUGACCAUCCUCAAAAACUACAACAUGCCUUAUCUUUUAUCCUGAGCCAAAACAAACUAUCCCAACAGAUAUUCCUCCUAUCAGAGAUUCAGCAGGCUAGGCCACAAGAAGAACCUCCUAGUUGAGUGAUUCUCAGGUAAUUGCACUCUGCCAUAGAUUGGCUUCGACUUAAUGCUUUUCCUGACCUUUCUCAAGAGCUACCUCCUAGAAGAGGCUCUCAAUCUCUCUUAGUGACCGGCUCAUAAAACCACCUACCAAAUCUGAAUCUUUCUUCUGUCCAGAACUUGAAUCUACCACGAGAAGAGCCUUUUACUACUCCCUUUGCCUCUUACAAGCAACCAAAAUGUGAGAACUGAAUAAAGCACCCUGCACUAUGACAUGCACAAGAAAUGCUUGACGUGAUGUCUGGACCUAUUGGCUUAGCAGAACUCUCAAGUUCCUGAACAUGCCUAAGCUGAAAGCUUCUCUAAACCACUGGAUUUUGAAGAUCUGCAGCGCUAGGACUGCAGCACUUGUAAUCAACUCUGUCAUAGCAGUUCGUUCAUAUUCUAUUAAAGACAGUUGAUUUUCAGCCGUUUGACAUCCUUAUAGCAAAGCUGUCCGUCAACACCUUUUCCUGAAGGGAAUACGCACACACUUGAUCCAAUUUUGGCCCAGCAGAGAGGAAACUUUUACCAACCGAUGGCCGCCCAAUGACCUGAAUGGAAAGAAUUGGUGGCCCCGGGAGAGCACACAAUUGAGAGAAGUGUGACAUCACAGUUUGGCACCAGCUGCCAUCCCGGGCACAGAGAAUACACAGUCCACUCAAGUCUGAGCUUCCUCUCUGGAUUCCCCUGGGGUUCAGUACAGAGCACUGUACAGUGGUGUAACCUCUAUACUGGACUGAUGGAAAAACCAAGUUUGCUUAUAUGGUGUAUUAUACUGACUGAGUUUUGUAUGUUGGACUAUUCCUGAAUCUCUGGGAUUAAUUCUAGAUGGUAGAUGAUCUUUUUGAUAUGUUCUUAGAUUCUGUAUGAAACAUGAUAGCACACUUGAGAACCAGUAAUAACUUCACUGAAGAAACAAGAAGUACAGACUCCUUAGCACUCCCAAACAUCCUGGCAUUAACUUCAGUGGCUCUGAUGAAACCCCCCUCCCUCCCAUUCACUGUUGGAUUUUCCCCAACUUGGUUGACAGUUGGCAGAACCCAGAGGUUGAAUUGUGAAGCAAAUUUUCUACUUGAGGCACAUCUUUUUGUGACUGUGUUUCCAGUCAAUGAGAUUGGGCAUUUUGGGUUGUCUUGACUUCAUCUGUUCUUUUAAAUUUAAUAACAUUGUCAGUGUCAGGGUUAACUUUUGCUCAAUAAAAAUAUUUAACUGCAUAUUCUACUUACUUAGC
rnacentral:lncRNA from 1 species